rnacentral:rRNA from 1 species
GAUGAACGCUGGCGGCGUGCCUAAUACAUGCAAGUCGAGCGAACAGACGAGGAGCUUGCUCCUCUGACGUUAGCGGCGGACGGGUGAGUAACACGUGGAUAACCUACCUAUAAGACUGGGAUAACUUCGGGAAACCGGAGCUAAUACCGGAUAAUAUAUUGAACCGCAUGGUUCAAUAGUGAAAGACGGUUUUGCUGUCACUUAUAGAUGGAUCCGCGCCGCAUUAGCUAGUUGGGAAGGUAACGGCUUACCAAGGCGACGAUGCGUAGCCGACCUGAGAGGGUGAUCGGCCACACUGGCACUGAGACACGGCCCAGACUCCUACGGGAGGCAGCAGUAGGGAAUCUUCCGCAAUGGGCGAAAGCCUGACGGAGCAACGCCGCGUGAGUGAUGAAGGUCUUCGGAUCGUAAAACUCUGUUAUUAGGGAAGAACAAAUGUGUAAGUAACUAUGCACGUCUUGACGGUACCUAAUCAGAAAGCCACGGCUAACUACGUG